CUGAGGAUGGGAGCCCUCUGAGAGCCAGAGGGGGAGAGACCUGGAGAGAACUGGAAAGCCCCAAGGAGCAGGUGAUGGUGAACGGAAGGAAUAAGAACGAGGAGGAGGCAGUGGCCAGGCCAAGGAUAGCCAAGACUCACAGAACACUCAUCUGCCAGGGAUUUUCUCAACACAUUCCUGUAUGAACUCAUUCAAGCCUCAAGCAAUACUUCCAGGUAGGCACUAUUUCAUCGUCGUCAUCGUACAGAUGAAGAAACUGAGGUGCAGAGGGGACGUACUUUAUCUGCAGUUGCACACCUAGGAGUCGCUGAGUCAAGAGUCUGAGCCCAGGGACAAUUGGGCCUCCAUCACUGUCACUUGCCUUGGCCGAAAUGGAGGAAGCCUGCAGGCCUGCACGUCUGGCCACGACUAGGUGAGGGUUCACUCUCUGGAAUGGCCUGGGACCGGCAGGUGGCAGCCUAGGGCUACUUGGGGGCAAAGACCAUUUCCAACACCACGCCCAGAGCCAGCGCGGAGCGACACAGUUCCCCACCGCCACCGUCCGCAGCUUCGUCGAUCGACUUCGCCGACGUCUUGUCUCCCUACCACUCCAGGUCCCCGCGUUGGAGGUCGCGGAGACCCAUCAGGACACAAUAGCCCUACUUAAGUUCAAAUAUGAGUUGCCCCACAUAA